rnacentral:rRNA from 1 species
UUAAUUAAGAGUUUGAUCAUGGCUCAGAUUGAACGCUGGCGCAGGCCUAACACAUGCAAGUCGAACGGUAGCAGAGAGCUGCUCUCGGGUGACGAGUGGCGGAUCGGGGUGAGAUAAAUGUCUGGGCAAACUGCCCGAUGAGGGGAUACACUACUGAAACGGUAAAGGCUAAUACCGCAUAAUCGUCUUUGCGACCAAAGUGGGGGACCUUCGGGCCUCACACCAUCGGAUGUGCCCAGAUGGGAUCUGCUAGUAGUGGGGUAAUGGCUCACCUAGGCGAGACAUCCCUAGCGGUCUGAGGAUGACCAGCCACACUGGAAAUCGAGACAGACGGUCCAGACUCCACGGGAGGCACAGUGGGGCAUAUUGCACAAUGGGCGGCAAGCCUGAUGCAAGCCAUGCCGCGUGUUAUGAAACGAAGGCCUUCGGGUUGUAAAGUAUUUCAGCGGGGAGGAAGCGAUAACGGUAAAACCGUGUCGAUUGACGUUACCCGCAGAGAAGCACCGGCUAACUCCGUGCCAGCAGGCCGCGGUAAAUACGGAGGGUGGCAGCGUUAAUGAAUACUGGGCGUAAGCGCACGCAUCGGCGGUCUGUCAAGUCAGAUGUGAAAUCCCGGGCUUAACCUGGACGCAUUUGAAACUGCAGGCUUGAGUCUCGUUAGAGGGGGGUAGAAUUUCAGUGUAGCGGUGAAAUGCGUAGAGAUCUGGAGAAUAACCGGUGGCGAAGGCGGGCCCCCUGGACGAGAGACUGACGCUCAGGUGCGAAAGCGUGGGGAGCAAACAGGAUUAAGAUACCUGGUAGUCCACGCUGUAAACGAUGUCGACCUUGGGAGGUUGUGCCCUUGAGGCGUGGCUUCCGGACUAACGGCGUUAAGUCGACCGCCUGGGGAGUACGGCCGCAGGUUAAAACUCAAAUGAAUUGACGGGGGCCCGCACAAGCGGUGGAGCAUGUGGUUAAUUCGAUGCAACGCGAAGACUUACCUGGCCUUGACAUCCACUAGCCACUUUCCAGAGAUGGAUUGUGCUUCGGGAACUGUGGAGACAGGGUGCCUGCAAUGCUGGUCCGUCAGCCUCGUUUGUGUAAAGUUGGGUUAAGUCGACGACGCACCCUAUCCUUUGUUGCACGAAUUCGGUCGGGAACUCAAGGAGACUGCCGUGAUAAACCGGAGGAAGGUGGGGAUGAACGUCAAGUCAUCAUGGCCCUUACGGCAGGGCUACCACGUUGCUACACUGGCGCAUACAAAGAGAAGCGACCUCGCCGAGCGCAAGCGGAACCUCAUAAAGUGCGUCGUAGUCCGGAUGCGGAGCUGCAACUCUGACUCCGUGAAGUCGGAAUCGCUAGUAACUCGGAUCAGAAUGCUACGGUGAAUACGUCCCGGGCUUGUACACACCGGCCCGUCACACAGGGGAGGUGUUGCAAAAGAAGUAGGUAGCUCACCUUCGGGAGGGCGCUUACCACUUGUGGAUUCUGACUGGGGUGGAAGUCGUAACCCAAGGUAACGUAGGGGAACCUGCGUUGGAUGCAUCCUUG